GACAGCCUCAGACUCAGGGCUGGGACCCUUGGGACUCAAAAGAGAGAAAAGGUGGAGAAAAGAGAAAGCUACUAUUUUCUUCAUUUUGCCCCUGCUAACAUCCAAUGCACUUAGGAGCCUCGAUGUCUGCUCUCCAAGAGAUGUCUGAUCUGAAAGCAUGUUGUGGUCCGCUACACACAAGAGCAAAAGAAGAGCAGGAAGGAGCUCAGUGCCAAGACCAUAGCCACAGGAAGAAAACCAGCUCUUAGGGCUGCAGCUCUAAAGACAGGCCAGGUGGAGAGAGGAUGCCAGACAGAUAUUUGAGCAGAACAAAGAGAGCCAACAGGAUGAAGGCAUUCCCUGGCUGGUUGGACAAGCAACUGAAGAACAGGAACAGAAGUGAAUGAAAAGAGAAGAUGCUGUGUUUGUGUUUUCUCUUGGUUAGAAUGCUGUGAGUCAGGACCUUAGCUGCUGGGUGUCCUGGG
rnacentral:lncRNA from 1 species